rnacentral:misc_RNA from 1 species
AAAGUAUUAUUACUGAUUAAAGAGAGAUAAAUAAAAAGGUAAUAUGAACAAGUAUACUUGUGAUUAAAAAUAUUACUUUAAGUACUUUUGCUAAGCGAUGUCCAAAUGAAGUAGGCUUAAUAAAUAAAUAUAUCUUUUAAUUUGUCUUCUAUCUAAGGCGAAUGUAUCUAGUUAUUUAAUUUGUACAAGUUUAAAAGUCUAUUUAGACAUAUUUAAAAGUGAAGGGCAU